UACGUAGGGACCAAGCGUUGUCCGGAUUUAUUGGGCGUAAAGAGCUCGUAGGCGGCUGUCCACGUCGGAUGUGAAAGCUCAGGGCUCAACCUUGAGAGGCCAUUCGAUACGGGACAGCUAGAGGUAGGUAGGGGAAAGCGGAAUUCCUGGUGUAGCGGUGAAAUGCGCAGAUAUCAGGAGGAACACCGAUGGCGAAGGCAGCUUUCUGGGCCUUACCUGACGCUGAGGAGCGAAAGCUGGGGAGCAAACAGG
rnacentral:rRNA from 1 species